UGGGGAAUAUUGGACAAUGGGCGCAAGCCUGAUCCAGCCAUGCCGCGUGUGUGAUGAAGGCCCUAGGGUUGUAAAGCACUUUCAACGGUGAAGAUAAUGACGGUAACCGUAGAAGAAGCUCCGGCUAACUUCGUGCCAGCAGCCGCGGUAAUACGAAGGGAGCUAGCGUUGUUCGGAAUUACUGGGCGUAAAGCGCGCGUAGGCGGGCUAUUAAGUUAGGGGUGAAAUCCCGGGGCUCAACCCCGGAACUGCCCUUGAUACUGGUAGUCUAGAGUUCGAGAGAGGUGAGUGGAAUUCCGAGUGUAGAGGUGAAAUUCGUAGAUAUUCGGAGGAACACCAGUGGCGAAGGCGGCUCACUGGCUCGAUACUGACGCUGAGGUGCGAAAGCGUGGGGAGCAAACAGGAUUAGAUACCCCCGUAGUCC
rnacentral:rRNA from 1 species